AGCAGCACAUAGUCCAGCAAAUGUUCCUUCACUUUUUCAGGGUUGCCUCACUUUGCAGAGCCUUGAAAUUGAUGAAGAAGGUAUUUCCCUUCUAGUGGAAGACAUCAAAUAUGCGUCUCACCAGCCUUCUGAAGGUGAUCGUGGCUUCAUUGUGGCUAGGAUCCAGUAUUGCCCAGAAGGUAACUCAAGCCCAACCACCAAAGUUCACACAGGAGAAGGAGACUGUGAACCUGGACUGUACAUACGACACCAGUGAUCCAACAUAUAGCCUAUUCUGGUACAAGCAGCCCAGCAGUGGGGUGAUGAUUCUCCUUAUUCGUCAGGACACUUAUAGCCAAGAAAAUGCCACAGAAGGUCGCUACUCACUGAAUUUCCAGAAGGCAAACAAAUCCAUCCAACUUGUCAUCUCAGAUGCACAGGUGGAGGACUCUGCAGUCUACUUCUGUGCACUGAGUGAGCCCACAGUGAGAGGUGUGUUGGAGGGAGGUGUACCAAAACCCGCAGUUCUCCUUGAUACAUCCACCUGCUGUUGGGUCCAGGGCUGA